rnacentral:rRNA from 1 species
AUUGAACGCUGGCGGCAGGCUUAACACAUGCAAGUCGAGCGGGGUGAUGGUGCUUGCACUAUCACUUAGCGGCGGACGGGUGAGUAAUGCUUAGGAAUCUGCCUAUUAGUGGGGGACAACAUCUCGAAAGGGAUGCUAAUACCGCAUACGUCCUACGGGAGAAAGCAGGGGAUCACUUGUGACCUUGCGCUAAUAGAUGAGCCUAAGUCGGAUUAGCUAGUUGGUGGGGUAAAGGCCUACCAAGGCGACGAUCUGUAGCGGGUCUGAGAGGAUGGACCGGCACCAUGGGACUGAGACACGGCCCCGACUGCUACGGGAGGCAGCAGUGGGGAAUAUUGGACAAUGGGGGGAACCCUGAUCCAGCCAUGCCGCGUGUGUGAAGAAGGCCUUAUGGUUGUAAAGCACUUUAAGCGAGGAGGAGGCUCUUUUGGUUAAUACCCAAGAUGAGUGGACGUUACUCGCAGAAUAAGCACCGGCUAACUCUGUGCCAGCAGCCGCAGUAA